AUUGAACGCUGGCGGCAUGCCUUACACAUGCAAGUCGAACGGCAGCGCGGGAGCAAUCCUGGCGGCGAGUGGCGAACGGGUGAGUAAUAUAUCGGAACGUGCCCAGUAGUGGGGGAUAGCCCGGCGAAAGCCGGAUUAAUACCGCAUACGACCUACGGGUGAAAGGGGGGGAUCGCAAGACCUCUCGCUAUUGGAGCGGCCGAUAUCAGAUUAGGUAGUUGGUGGGGUAAAGGCCUACCAAGCCGACGAUCUGUAGCGGGUCUGGGGGGACGACCAGCCACACUGGGCCUGAGACCCGCCCCAGACUCCUACGGGGGGCAGCAGUGGGGAAUUUUGGACAAUGGGCGCAAGCCUGAUCCAGCCAUUCCGCGUGCAGGAAGAAGGCCUUCGGGUUGUAAACUGCUUUUGUACGGAACGAAACGCGCUGAGUUAAUACCUUGGCGUAAUGACGGUACCGUAAGAAUAAGCACCGGCUAACUACGUGCCAGCAGCCGCCGUAACAC
rnacentral:rRNA from 1 species